rnacentral:rRNA from 1 species
GCCUAUGGCCACACCACCCUGAAAACACUCAAUCUUGUCUGAUCUCAGAAGCUAAGCAGAGUCGGGCUCGGUUAGUACUUGGAUGGGAGACCACCUGGGAGUCCCAGGUGCUGUAGGCU